rnacentral:rRNA from 1 species
GACGAACGCUGGCGGCGUGCCUAAUACAUGCAAGUCGAACGCUGAAGAGAGGAGCUUGCUCUUCUUGGAUGAGUUGCGAACGGGUGAGUAACGCGUAGGUAACCUGCCUGGUAGCGGGGGAUAACUAUUGGAAACGAUAGCUAAUACCGCAUAACAACAGUUGUUGCAUGACAGCUGUUUAAAAGAUGCAAUUGCAUCACUACCAGAUGGACCUGCGUUGUAUUAGCUAGUUGGUGAGGUAACGGCUCACCAAGGCGACGAUACAUAGCCGACCUGAGAGGGUGAUCGGCCACACUGGGACUGAGACACGGCCCAGACUCCUACGGGAGGCAGCAGUAGGGAAUCUUCGGCAAUGGGGGGAACCCUGACCGAGCAACGCCGCGUGAGUGAAGAAAGGUUUCGGAUCGUAAAGCUCUGUUGUAAGAGAAGAACGGGUGUGAGAGUGGAAAGUUCACACUGUGACGGUAUCUUACCAGAAAGGGACGGCUAACUACGUG